GUGCUCCCUUCAGCAGUACAUAUAUAAAAUUGGAACGAUACAGAGAAGAUUAGCAUGGCCUCUGUGUAAGGAUGACAUGCAAAUUCGUGAAGCGUUCCAUAAUUUU
ensembl:snRNA U6 U6 spliceosomal RNA